CGGAGGGUGCGAGCGUUGUCCGGAAUCACUGGGCGUAAAGGGCGCGUAGGCGGCGCGGGCAGUCAACGGUGAAAGCUUGGGGCUCAACCCCGAGUCGGCCGUCGAUACUCCCGUGCUGGAGCACUGUAGAGGCAGGUGGAAUUCCGGGUGUAGCGGUGGAAUGCGUAGAGAUCCGGAAGAACACCGGUGGCGAAGGCGGCCUGCUGGGCAGUAGCUGACGCUGAGGCGCGACAGCGUGGGGAGCAAACAGGAUUAGAUACCCUGGUAGUCCACGCCGUAAACGAUGGGCACUAGGUGCUUGGGGGAGCGACCCUCUGAGUGCCGGCGCUAACGCAUUAAGUGCCCCGCCUGGGGAGUACGGCCGCAAGGCUG
rnacentral:rRNA from 1 species